rnacentral:misc_RNA from 1 species
AAAGUCGUAACAAGGUAACCGUAGGUGAACCUGCGGUUGGAUCAUUAAUAAGUUUUGGUUCUUGUAACCGAACAAUCUUGUGUGAUAUGUAUUCUGUUUCUCGUGAAUCGAGCGCAUAAUUUUUGUGAUGAAAGUUAUGCCUGCGUCUAGGAUCUAUAGAUCUAUGAUGGCUGGUUCACGAAAGGACCGGGUGAUGUAUGUCACUUGGUUCGAAAAAACCAACCUUUAGUUAUCUUUUGUUUUGUCUUACUUAUUUUUCACAUUUAAUUGUGUAAAUUUUAUAACAACUUUUGACAACGGAUCUCUUGGCUCUC